AGCUCCAAUAGCGUAUAUUAAAGUUGUUGCAGUUAAAAAGCUCGUAGUUGGAUUUGUGGCAUACUAUGGACACCCUUCACUUGUUGUUGGAGUUGUGCUUGGUUGCCAUCCUUGGGUGGAAUCUGUGUGGCAUUAGGUUGUCGUGCAGUGGAUGCCCAUCUUUUACUGUGAAAAAAUUAGAGUGUUCAAAGCAGGCUUAUGCCGUUGAAUAGAUUAGCAUGGAAUAAUGAGAUAGGACCUUGGUACUAUUUUGUUGGUUUGCGCACCGAGGUAAUGAUUAAUAGGGACGGUUGGGGGUAUUCAUAUUCCAUUGUCAGAGGUGAAAUUCUUGGAUUUUUGGAAGAUGAACUACUGCGAAAGCAUUUACCAAGGAUGUUUUCAUUAAUCAAGAACGAAAGUA
rnacentral:rRNA from 1 species